UACGGGGGGGCAAGCGUUGUUCGGAAUUACUGGGCGUAAAGGGCUCGCAGGCGGCCGACUAAGUCAGACGUGAAAUCCCUUGGCUUAACCAAGGAAUGGCGUCUGAUACUGGACGGCUUGAAUCCGGGAGAGGGAUGUGGAAUUCCAGGUGUAGCGGUGAAAUGCGUAGAUAUCUGGAGGAACACCGGUGGCGAAGGCGGCAUCCUGGACCGGUAUUGACGCUGAGGAGCGAAAGCCAGGGGAGCAAACGGGG
rnacentral:rRNA from 1 species